CUCAGCAAUGUGUGCACUUGGUCCCUUGUUUGUUCCUGGCUGGGUCAGGGAAGGCCUGCCGGGGGUGGUGGCACUGAGAGCCUGGGGGAACAGGCGCCAGGCCAGCUGGCCAGGCACUGGUGGGCUGGGGAGCAGCAGCAGCACACCCCACGUGUCCCUGGGUCACUGGGUUCGCCACCGGGGAAGGGACGGGGAGGCCACAUGCUCAUGCAGACACAGGGAGUUAGAGGCUAGUGAGGCCCCACGGUACACUCCACAUGUUAAGGCAUCAUGGUUAGACGGGACCGACAGCGACAAGGGGGCUGGCCAGGGAGCAGCGGGGCUGGAGGACGGCCCGGCCCCCACGAGGCCGUGCAUCCCACACCCCAGCUCCACCCCGGAGCAGCAGACGCACACGUCCAGGGGCAACCACGGGGCCUGGAGAAUGGCUGCUCCGCUCCCUCCUGAA
rnacentral:lncRNA from 1 species